GUAGGGGGCGAGCGUUAUCCGGAUUUACUGGGCGUAAAGCGCGUUAAGGCGGUUGGCAAAGUUGGUGGUGAAAUUUCAGGGCUCAACCCUGAAACUGCCUCCAAUACUGGUCGACUUGAGUGUGAGAGAGGAAGGUGGAAUUCCCGGUGUAGUAGUGAAAUGCGUAGAUAUCGGGAGGAACACCAGUGGCGAAGGCGGCCUUCUGGCUCACAACUGACGCUGUAGCGCGAAAGCGUGGGGAGCGAACGGGAUUAGAUACCCCGGUAGUCCACGCUGUAAACGAUGUGCACUAGGUGUUGGGCGUAUUGACGCGCUCAGUGCCGCAGCUAACGCAUUAAGUGCACCGCCUGGGGAGUACGGCCGCAAGGUUA
rnacentral:rRNA from 1 species